AUUGAACGCUGGCGGCAUGGAUUAGGCAUGCAAGUCGAGCGAGAAGUGUAGCAAUACACGGAAAGCGGCGGAAGGGAGAGUAAUACGUGGAAUCUGCCCUUAGACCUGGGAUAGCAGCGGGAAACUGCUGGUAAUACCAGAUAAUGUCUAUGGACCAAAGGUGUGAUUCCGUCUAGGGAUGAGCCCACGUCCUAUUAGCUAGUUGGUAGGGUAAUGGCCUACCAAGGCGAUGAUGGGUAGCGGGUGUGAGAGCAUGACCCGCCUCACUGGGACUGAGACACUGCCCAGACACCUACGGGUGGCUGCAGUCGAGAAUCUUCGGCAAUGGGCGCAAGCCUGACCGAGCGAUGCCGCGUGCGGGAUGAAGGCCUUCGGGUUGUAAACCGCUGUCGAGGGGGAGCAACUUCCAUAGAGUUAUCUUUAUGGAUUGAGUGAUCCCUGGAGGAAGGACGGGCUAAGUUCGUGCCAGCCGCCGCAGUAAUAC
rnacentral:rRNA from 1 species